rnacentral:tRNA from 1 species
CAAAUUAGAGCUUGAUUAAAUAAGUAUUUCAUUUACAUUGAAAAGAUAUUAAUAAAAAUUAAUUAAUUUGA